rnacentral:rRNA from 1 species
UACGUAGGUGGCAAGCGAUACUCGGAAUCACUGGGCGUAAAGCGCAGGUAGGCGGUUUGGUAAGUCUUUUGUGAAAGCCCCCGGCUCAACCGGGGAGGGUCGUUGGUGACUGUCGCGCUUGAAGGCAGCAGGGGUGAGUGGAAUUCCCGGUGUAGUGGUGAAAUGCGUAGAGAUGUGGAGGAAUACCGAUGGCGAAGGCAGCCCCCUGGGUCAAUACUGACGCUCAUGCACGAAAGCGUGGGGAGCAAACAGG